AAUGGUAGAGGUGCGGGAUUCAUCAGUAGUAUCUGUCAGAGGCCGGAGGGCGGCCGCAGAUAUGAAAGGGGAGCCUGCCGAAGAAGGGCCGCCGCCUUCCGGUGGUUUUUCUGGGCCAUAGCAGAAGAUGCUGUGGACUGUCACAUUGUGUGGAGCGCUAUCA
rnacentral:ncRNA from 1 species